GCUGACGUGGCAAAGGGGCCAGAUGCCAAGGACCCUGGCGUCUGGCCCUGGUAACUGGAUAACGGCGUGGGCCAGCCCACCCAUCCUCAUCUCAUCUUCUCCUGGCGGCGCCUCACGAAUAGAGGGGUUGUGUUCGUCGCCCCUCCUCUCCCUCGCACCACCACCCACCUGAUCUAUUCCAUCCUCCGCUCAAACUCGUAGAUCUGACCCCCCCCCAAGCAUCUUUGAGGAUGGCGGAUGAUGAUGGACCUUGGUAUGAUGGAUUAAUCCAAGAGUGGGAUAAGGAACAUCGUGCUCAUGCCAUUGAGAACGGAAAGCCUGUAGUUGCUAUGCGCAUGAGGGGUCAUUGCGCUAAUGACUUUCCUUACGACGCGUGGUACAAGCCGUACAUUUGGAGAUUGGGUCUUCUCCCAUUCGUGUUGCAGUUUAAGCGACGCCCUCCGCCGGUGAACCACGCGGCGCUGACCGCACUUGUGGAUCGUUGGAGGCCCGAGACUCACUCGUUCCACCUUUCAUUUGGGGAGAUGACGAUGACCCUAGAGGACAUGGCUAUGAUAAGCGGCCUUCCUAUCAACGGACGAGCUGUUACCGGUUGUGUCAGCGCCAUUAAUUGGCGACAACGGGCAGGCAUUUUAAUUGGUGUUGAGCCCGAUGCCCCUCUGCCAGGCAAGGCCGAUGCCUCGAAAGUGAGGCAUUCUUGGCUAAAACAAGUCAGAGGAGAAGGCAAUCCGUGCCCUCGGGGUGCCAAUGACCUGGUUGUGCAGCAGUACGCGCAGGCCUAUCUUUGGUAUGUACUAACUAAGGUAGUCUUCUCAGACGCAACCGUGAACUCAGCCCUCUGGAUGUUUUUGGAGCUACUCACUAACUGGGAUACCCAGUAUAGCUGGGGUUCGGCCGCACUAGCAUACUUGUAUCGUCAGCUAAGAGAUAUUUGCAACCAUUUAUCUUGCAUUUGUCAUGCGCCUCCAUAUCUAACAUGUUUGUUUGAUUGCAGCUUGACUUGGCGUGUCGCAGGAAGGGAGAUACAUCCUCAUUGGCUGGGUUUGUUUGGAGCCUAUCCGUGUGGAUGUGGGAGCGGAUCCCGGUUGGACGGCCCGAUUUCAAGAACGCCGAACACCCAAACCCACUUAGUAAUCAUGACGGGGCGCAUGAUGAUGAUCCAUAUCGGCGCCCUACGGUUGCGUACUAUUGGGAACGGGUGACUGUGUACACAGGAAGCUCGCAUGUGCGAUACAAGUGCUAUAUGAACGAGCUGGACACCUUGACUGUUGAGCAGGUCCAUUGGUUGUGCUGAAAGAACAUGCGGUGCCCCCAUGUUUGGUUUUGGUAAUUGAUGACAAUCUCUAUGGACUAAUGGUUGCCUUGAGUUAUAUUUGAAGGAUUUGUCCAUAGGCAUUUCUUGAAGU